UUCCCAGAGCUCCUUUCUGCACUUCAGGGUGCCCCAAAGGCUGCCUGUCCUAUUCUUUGCACGUUCUCCUUGGCUCUGGCCUUUCAUGGCGGUGUCUUCCUUCCUUUUCCUUCCCUUUGCCCUUGGCGCUCCCUACUGCAUUCUCUUGCCCUCCUGUUUUUGCAUUCCAUGUCAUGUUUUCUUGGCCAUUGCCCUUGACCUUCUUUGCGGCAUUCUUCUUGGCCUCAGGUUUUGGCGUUCCCUGCAGCGUUCUCUUUGGCCAUCACUUCUGGUGUUCCAUGCAGUGUUCUAUUUGGCCUUUAGGUUUUCGCCAUCCAUGCCACGUUCUCCUGGUCAUUGCGCUUGGCCUUCUUUGCCACAUUCUCUUUGGCCUUCCCUUCCAUGUUCUCUUUGACCUUUGCCCUUGGCCUUCUUGGCCGUGUUCCUUUCAGCCUCCUGUUCUGGCAUUCUCUGCGAUGAUCUCUUUGGCCUUUGGUUUUGGCAUUCCUUGUUGCGUUCUGUUUGGCCUUUGCCUUUGGCCUUCUUGUUUUGGCAUUCCCUACUGCAUUCUCUUUGGUCUUUGGUUUUGGCCAUCUGUGCUGCAUUCUCUUUGGCCAUUGCUAUUGGCCUCCUGCAUCGGCCUUCCCUGCAGCGUUCUCAUGGACCUUGCCCUCCAUUUUGGCCUUGCCAUGGUGUUCUCUUUGGUCUCUGUUUUGUUCUCUGAGGCCCUCUCUUUGGGCCUGCCCUCUGAGGAGGUCUUCUCUUUGGUGUUCUCCAUACCUUUGCUUUCCCUUUGCCUUUGACGUUGCCUUCCCUUGGUUGUUGUCUAUGCCUUUGCCCUCGGUUUUGGUGUUUCCUUGGGUGUUGUUGCCUUUGCCUUGGCCUUCCCUAACAGUCCCUUUGAGCAUAACCCUAAUAAACCUAACCCUAAUACCUUCACCCCAACUCUAAUGAGCUCUGAACUCCAAACAUAGUGCUUAUCUGAUGCAAUGCCCUCAGCAAACAUACCAAGGGUGCACUCCAUGCUGUCAGGCAGGUCUUCAAUGAAGAUAUUGGACAGAACAGGCCUGAAGAGCACUCAGGAUGGCAUACCAGCUGUUUUUAACACGAUGGAGCAGCACUCAUUAGGCCAGGCGGUUCAGCUAGUUCUUCAUCUAGCAAGCAAUGUACCCGUCCAAGUAGCCGGCUGCAGUCUUUCAGAGAAUUUCAAGGGAUAGCACAUCAAAGGGUUUGCCCCACUCAUGGGGUUGGGUCACCUUCGCUUUGAGUUUGCUAGCAUGGCUGACCCUAAUCCCGUAACUGACAUCCUGUAGCUGGACAGAGACCAUUUGCACUCCAUCCAGGCUGUUUGAGACUCAUGGCCAUGCUGAGAGUCACACUGAUUUCAGCGUGUGCAGUCAUUUUGCAUCAACCCAAUUGGCUUUAGCUUUACAAAUAAUUUAUCUCAACCAAAUUGGCUUUAGCUUUGCAGUUAAUGCAUUGCAAAUAAGUUGGCUUUAGCUUUGCCUUGCUUACGGGGUUGGGUUAGCUUUGCUUUGUUUGUUUGUACCGCAGGGCUAACCCAACCCCGUAACCAACGCCCGAGGCCAUCGGAGCCCAUUUGCGCUCCUUCCCGGCCAGUCUGAGACUCGCGCCCCUUUGUGGCCAUUCUGAGAGUUGCGCUGAUUUUGGCAGGUGCAGUCAAUUUAUCUUGCCCAAAUUGGCUUUAGCUUCGCAAUCAAUUGAUCUCAGCCAAAUUGGCUUCAGCUUUGCAAUCAAUUGAUCUCAACCAAAUUGGCUUUAGCUUUGCAAUCAACUGAUCUCAGCCAAAUUGGCUUUAGCUUUGCCUUGCUUACGGGGUUGGGUUAGCUUUGCUUUGUUUGUUUGUACCACAGGGCUAACCCAACCCCGUAACCAACGCCCGAGGCCAUCAGAGCCCAUUUGCGCUCCUUCCCGGGCAGUCUGAGACUCGCGCCCCUUU
ensembl:lncRNA